rnacentral:rRNA from 1 species
CACGUAGGGCGCGAGCGUUGUCCGGAAUUAUUGGGCGUAAAGAGCUCGUAGGCGGCCUGUUGCGUCCGCUGUGAAAGCCCGGGGCUUAACCCCGGGUCGGCAGUGGAUACGGGCAGGCUAGAGGUAGGUAGGGGAGAAUGGAAUUCCCGGUGUAGCGGUGAAAUGCGCAGAUAUCGGGAGGAACACCGGUGGCGAAGGCGGUUCUCUGGACCUUACCUGACGCUGAGGAGCGAAAGCGUGGGGAGCGAACAGG